rnacentral:rRNA from 1 species
GAUUUCUGACAGACCGUUGCGGCCCGUGCUCGUUUCGGGCGUGUGUGCUGAGUCGUGUUUGUCAUCCUUCCGGAAAGCUGCGUCUACCAUUCAGUUGGCCGGACGUACGUGAUCCGGAUCUAUUACUUUGAAAAAAUUAGAGUGUUUAAAGCAGGCUUACGCUAUGAAUACAUUAGCAUGGAAUAAUAAUUUAGGACUUUGGUUCUAUUUUGUUGGUUUCUAGGACUGAAGUAAUGAUUGAUAGGGAUAGUUGGGGGUGCUAGUAUUCCGCGGCCAGAGGUGAAAUUCUUGGAUUCGCGGAAGACUAACUACUGCGAAAGCAUU